rnacentral:rRNA from 1 species
AUUGAACGCUGGCGGCAGGCUUAACACAUGCAAGUCGAGCGGGGGAAGGUAGCUUGCUACCGGACCUAGCGGCGGACGGGUGAGUAAUGCUUAGGAAUCUGCCUAUUAGUGGGGGACAACAUCUCGAAAGGGAUGCUAAUACCGCAUACGUCCUACGGGAGAAAGCAGGGGAUCUUCGGACCUUGCGCUAAUAGAUGAGCCUAAGUCGGAUGAGCUAGUUGGUGGGGUAAAGGCCUACCAAGGCGACGAUCUGUAGCGGGUCUGAGAGGAUGAUCCGCCACACUGGGACUGAGACACGGCACAGACUCCUACGGGAGGCAGCAGUGGGGAAUAUUGGACAAUGGGGGGAACCCUGAUCCAGCCAUGCCGCGUGUGUGAAGAAGGCCUUAUGGUUGUAAAGCACUUUAAGCGAGGAGGAGGCUACUCUAGUUAAUACCUAGGGAUAGUGGACGUUACUCGCAGAAUAAGCACCGGCUAACUCUGUGCCAGCAGCCGCAGUAACAC